GUCUGCGUAGCCCAAUCUUGGUAGAGGCAGCGCGUCGAGAGCGCGCCCAGUCUCGGUUCGACUCCGAGCGCAGACAC
rnacentral:tRNA from 1 species